UGGAGAGCCAUGAUCGCCCAAGCGUGUAACACACAAGGCACAUCAUGAAGAAGAAGAAGAAGUUAAAUGAGAAGCAUGUCAAGGAGAGACACAUGCAGGUUAUUCUGGAGCAGUGCUUAUUGCUGAAUCGUGGAUUCGAGUUCUGUGUGAACCACCGUAUUGUGAGCUCAAGUCCCGAAGAAAACAACCCAAGUUUGACCAUAAUGCUCUCUUAUCCAAGCAAAAUCAUCUGAACACAAGAGAUUCUGAAGAUGCUGGAAAUCCUGAACAACGAACCCAAAAAAUGCCGGAGAAACUUAACAGAUCAGGCAGCAAAGUUCAAAAUGCCGAUUAACCUGCUGAUUGCUGCCCAGCAUUUCUUUGUUGUGCAGUGAAGAGCAAAUGAACAUCUGAGGUGGCCUGGUGGAAUCAAGUAUGAAAAGUUCUGUUUUGGGAUGCCAGAUAUGAAAGUGUUUAAUUCUGGCAUUUGAAAAUGAGUCCAAGCAAUAAAAUUCCUCACAAUCAGACAAGGAAAAUGGAAAA